AUGCGCCACCCAGUCAGCCGAGUGAUGGUAGAUCCCAGUGGAAAUGCCUCUGGCUCACUGGUUUUGGUUCAGUUUGAAGGGCUCUCGGGGCAAAAGAUAAUUGAGUUGUUGAAUCUGAAUGGGCGCCGCGAGGAGUGGAGGAUCGAGGUUGUGGGUUGCCAGCUUCAAAUUUUGGGUCUUCGCAAGGAGUUGAAGGCUGAGGUCAUGGUUGCCAGCUUCAAUUUUUUGCUGACCAAUUCCUCAAGAGUCUUGCCAAGAUCUGAGGAUGAAGGGAAGAAGAAGAAUUUAACUAAAGAGUUGAAGAAGAUGAAGCAAUGUACGGGCCAGAGACAAUCGGCGAUAAAAACGAUCUGCUUGCAAGUUCUAUAUUACCAGCGGAGGCUUUGCCAAGAGGAAGGGUAA
rnacentral:rRNA from 1 species